CACUGGACUCCAACAUUGGACUCCAUUGCAACAGCGUAUGAAGAUGACGCUUUGGUAUGGAAGGUGGAUUUGAAGCAGAGAGGAAAUCUGAGAAAUUGCUCUGAGGGCAGCAAAAGGCAGCUUAAUCAACUGCUCUUCGAAUCUAUAGCAAAGAAACUCUCUCCAAUGCCAAAGAGGUGUUAAUGAUAGAGAUUAUAAAAGGGAGCUGUUGAAGUACAUCUUCCAAGCUUCCCAUAAAAGCCUAACUGGCAAAAG
rnacentral:lncRNA from 11 species